CUGAUUUCCAAAUAUGGUGUUUUGGCAGAAAGAGACAUGACAUGAAGGUUUAUUAUAAUAAAGUACGAUAUAUUGCAAUAUGUAAAGGAGAAUG